GAUGAACGCUAGCGGCAGGCUUAACACAUGCAAGUCGAGGGGUAUAGUUCUUCGGAGCUAGAGACCGGCGCACGGGUGCGUAACGCGUAUGCAAUCUACCUUUUGCAGAGGGAUAGCCCAGAGAAAUUUGGAUUAAUACCUCAUAGUAUGUGAGAAUGGCAUCAUUUUCACAUUAAAGUCACAACGGCAAAAGAUGAGCAUGCGUCCCAUGGCUUGUUGUGAAGGUAACGGCUUACCAAGGCAACGAUGGGUAGGGGUCCUGAGAGGGAGAUCCCCCACACUGGUACUGAGACACGGACCAGACUCCUACGGGAGGCAGCAGUGAGGAAUAUUGGACAAUGGGCGCAAGCCUGAUCCAGCCAUGCCGCGUGCAGGAUGACGGUCCUAUGGAUUGUAAACUGCUUUUGUACAGGAAGAAACACUGGUUCGUGAACCAGCUUGACGGUACUGUAAGAAUAAGGAUCGGCUAACUCCGUGCCAGCCGCCGCCGUAAAAC
rnacentral:rRNA from 1 species